GAUGAACGCUGGCGGCGUGCCUAAUACAUGCAAGUCGAGCGAACAGAUGAGGAGCUUGCUCCUCUGACGUUAGCGGCGGACGGGUGAGUAACACGUGGAUAACCUACCUAUAAGACUGGGAUAACUUCGGGAAACCGGAGCUAAUACCGGAUAAUAUAUUGAACCGCAUGGUUCAAUAGUUAAAUACGGUUUUGCUGUCACUUAUAGAUGGAUCCGCGCCGCAUUAGCUAGUUGGUAAGGUAACGGCUUACCAAGGCAACGAUGCGUAGCCGACCUGAGAGGGUGAUCGGCCACACUGGAACUGAGACACGGUCCAGACUCCUACGGGAGGCAGCAGUAGGGAAUCUUCCGCAAUGGGCGAAAGCCUGACGGAGCAACGCCGAGUGAGUGAUGAAGGUCUUCGGAUCGUAAAACUCUGUUAUUAGGGAAGAACAAAUGUGUAAGUAACUAUGCACGUCUUGACGGUACCUAAUCAGAAAGCCACGGCUAACUACGUG
rnacentral:rRNA from 1 species